ACUGCUUCUUGGUCUUUUGGCUAAGAUCCAAUAUAGUAUCUGUUAUCAUCAAUUUAACAACUGAUACGUCCUUUAACUGAGGAGUAAGUUUAAGUGGAUUUUUGUAGCAGAGAGAUGAAAUAGAAGCUCUCUCCAUCUACUGCACACACUGACAGAUAUUGUGUACUACCUCUGAGAAAAGGGCACCCCCU